ensembl:lncRNA
CUUGAGAGAGGAAUCGGGUGUAAUAGCAUUUCUCAGCCUUAAAGGAGAAGACAGAUAAUGUCGGAAAAGAGAUUGGCAAUAAAAAGGUUUUCUGCAAUACAGGUGUUUAAAGUGGCAGAGACCAUUGUUGUCAUAUGUGACUUAUUCAUCAUAUAUUCAUCAUCUCUGGGGACUUCUUUAACAUCAGAAGACAAGCCAAGAACACUAAGAGGCAAAAUGCAGCAGAGAAAAAAUGAAUUUGCAAAGAAUGGCAGGAAGAAAACACUAAAUCAUAAAACUUUCCCAACACCUCACUGAAAGAAC